rnacentral:rRNA from 1 species
CCUACGGGAGGCAGCAGUGGGGAAUUUUGGACAAUGGACGCAAGUCUGAUCCAGCCAUUCCGCGUGCAGGACGAAGGCCUUCGGGUUGUAAACUGCUUUUGUACGGAACGAAAAAGCUCUUAUUAAUACUAGGAGUCCAUGACGGUACCGUAAGAAUAAGCACCGGCUAACUACGUGCCAGCAGCCGCGGUAAUACGUAGGGUGCAAGCGUUAAUCGGAAUUACUGGGCGUAAAGCGUGCGCAGGCGGUUAUAUAAGACAGAUGUGAAAUCCCCGAGCUUAACUUGGGAACUGCAUUUGUGACUGUAUAGCUAGAGUACGGCAGAGGGGGAUGGAAUUCCGCGUGUAGCAGUGAAAUGCGUAGAUAUGCGGAGGAACACCGAUGGCGAAGGCAAUCCCCUGGGCCUGUACUGACGCUCAUGCACGAAAGCGUGGGGAGCAAACAGGAUUAGAUACCCUGGUAGUCCACGCCCUAAACGAUGUCAACUGGUUGUUGGGUCUUCACUGACUCAGUAACGAAGCUAACGCGUGAAGUUGACCGCCUGGGGAGUCGGCCGCAAGGUUGAAACUCAAAUGAAUUGACGG